AGCCGUGCUAUCCAUUGUUGUCUACAGCCUCCCAUUGUCGACGUUGUCGCCACCAUAGCCGUCGCCACUAUAGCACACAACGACCACAGUUACCACAAACACAGUAAAAUCCCUAGAUAACAAUCACAACACAAAGCAAAACCCAAAACCAAGCCCUUGCUAUCUAUCACCAUCCACAGCGCCAGUAGGUGCCCCAUCGCCACCAUUGUCUAUGGGCACUACUAUCACUGCUAACACAAAACAAAAUCCCCAAAUCACAAUCACAAUCACAACACAAAGCAAAAGACCCCAAAUCAACCUCUAUAUUGAUUUGAUGAUCUGUUGACCCUUAAACUUCCUUUCGCCACCAAAUCAAUGGGUCUGGCUGAAGUUGACAAGCCCAUCACCCCAUGCCAUGUGAAGCUUAAAAUCAAGAACUUUCAUUCACAAACAACACUCUUUCUCCCCUAUACCUUUGCAACAAAAGACCCCUCCAUUUUUAUCGCAAGCUUCCACCUUGACCUCGACACCUUCCGUCACCUUUCAAACAAGCGUAUUACCCUCAAAAUAUCAAUCAUCGUUGACUUUAUUGGACAUAUUUGUAGAGUCAGUUAGAGGGAGGGACGAUGGUAACAACGACGGGUGUAAGUGAAAAUUUAGAGCUGUAAUGAGGGAGAAAACGUGAAAGACGAUGAGAAAAGGAGUUUGUGAGAGGUGGAAAAAACAACGGUGGCAUGACACUCCGAGGAUGGCAUGAUCAGUAUUAGGUGGCGAUGGUGACGAGAUUGGAUUUCCCUAUUUUUGGGUAGUUG
rnacentral:lncRNA from 1 species